UACAGAGGGUGCGAGCGUUGUCCGGAAUCACUGGGCGUAAAGGGCGCGUAGGCGGCCUGAUAAGUAGGGGGUGAAAUCCUGUGGCUUAACUGCAGGGCUGCCUCCUAGACUGUUAGGCUCGAGCACGGUAGAGGCAGAUGGAAUUCCCGGUGUAGCGGUGGAAUGCGUAGAGAUCCGGAAGAACACCGGUGGCGAAGGCGGCCUGCUGGGCAGUUGCUGACACUGAGGCGCGACAGCGUGGGGAGCAAACAGG
rnacentral:rRNA from 1 species